UAAUAAUAAUAAUAAUAAUAAUAAUAAUAAUAAUAAUAAUAAUAAUAAUAGUUUUCAAUGUUUUUUAAAAUUCUUAAAGCCAAUAAUUGAUACUUUAACUCUUUAGAUUAUUUUUAAGUCAUUUUUUUCUUUUUAUUUAUUGAAUAAUACGUUUUAAUUUAACUUUACCUAAAUUUGUAUUUUUUAAUGCUAGAACUAGAACUGCUUGCCUCAUACAAAUUCUGUUGUCGUUUUAUCCAAACGAUUCAUUUGGAAGUAAUAAAAGAAUCUUUUAUAUUAACAGUUUCACCUUCAAUUUUUUUUAGGUCGAUUUCAAAUUCUUUUAGAUUUUGUUGGUCUUAUUUUCGGAAGGUUAAUUUAAUUUUACUUUAAAUACACAUUUGAUGUCCUGAUGUCUCAAAACUUUCUUUUUUUUUCUCUCAUAUGUGGAUUGAUUCACAAUCUUUACAUCGAUUUCAUAUUAAAAAAAUAUUUUUUGAUGAUUUUGUUUUCAUCAGAGCCUAAUACAGGUGGUAAUAGCAAUAGAGAUGGUAAAAUGCAGAAAAAUGUAGGUUUUUUAUUCUUAGUUUGCGAGAUAGAGAGGUUUCAAAAUGACCAAUCCCAGAAGCUCUCUCCCAGGUAUACUGCAUAAACUAGAUGCGUUACUAAGGAAUAAUAAAUUCAAGUGCCCACUUUUAUUGUCCGUUCUACCUAUUUUUGUUUUCCUAGCAACGUGUUUUGUUCUCCUAAUCCUCCAGAGCAAGGCCUUUUGUGAUUGGGUAUUUUCAAACGUUCUUUUCUCCGAAACACGAAGGGUUAGAAUUUUUUUGUAAAGGAACUUUAGCUUCAGAAUUGCCUAAACUAUACGCACAUUUCCGGUGGGGAGUGAGUUCUGAUACAGGCUGUAUACAGUGUGUCCGUUUUUCAAGCUUCACCAUGGGGAUCUCAAUUAUUUUAAAAUUGUUCUUUAUGCUGAUGACACAGUCUUUAUAGUAUCAGGUAAAGAUAAAACUUCCCUUCAACUAAGCAGGCAAACUUUGACAGACAAAGCAACGUCGUGGUUCGCAUCAAACUUCUUGGCGGUAAAUUCAGAUAAGACACAGCACAUUGACUUUUCUUUUAACAAUAAUAAUAUAACUGGCAACCAUGUUAAACUUCUGGGUGUAGUUGUGGAUGAAGCUCUAAAGUGGAGUUCUCACAUUGAAAGCCUAUGCCAAAAACUAUCUGAUCAAGUGUAUCUCAUCAGACAAUUAAAGAAAGUUUUGAGUUUAGAAUGCUUAUUAACUGCAUACCAUUCAACUUUUCACUUACAUUUAACCUAUGGAGUGACUUUUUGGGGUAGUGCCUCUCGUGAUUAUAAAAUUUUUAAAAUUCAGAAAAGAGGAUUUAGGGUCAUAGCUAACAUUAGUCGCUAUAAUUCGUGUAGACAGUGGUUCAUAAAAUUUAACAUAAUGACACUUGCUUCAACAUAUAUCUAUUUCUCUUUGCUUGAAAUCCACCAAUCCUCCCAUAAUUUCAAUAAACAUGCAGACUUUCAUAUCAUUACACACGAUCAGCACAACUACUUCUACCACCCCGUUUCAAGAGUAGCAGUGCCGUUAGAAAUACAUUAAACCUCAAUCUUUAUUAUAAGCUUAGUCCAAACACAAAGUCUCUUAAUAAAUGCUUUUAAAACUGUUAUUAAUGUUAUUAUAGUAUAAAUGAAUUUUUAUCUAGUUCCCUUCCGAUCUAGCUGUCUCUCUAUUCGUAAUUUAUACCUUUUUUAUGUAAUUUUUCUCCUUUUUUUUAUCUGUUUAACUUGAUAUGUUUAUAUUUAUAUUUAUUAUUUUUUAUUAUAUUAUAAUAUCCUAAUUAGUAUCCAUACGUGACGUGUUUAAUUUCUGUGUAUUCAGAUAAGAUUAACGAAUAAAUUAUUAUUAUUAUUAUUAUUAUUAUUAUUAUUAUUAUUAACGAUACGAGCUCGGUUAAAUUAGAGCAAAGUUGGGCAUUUUUAUGCUGAAAAAGUGGGAAGUCGGUGAAGGACCUAGCCGAAUGUAAUGGACGAGAUGAUGUGUUGAAACUUAUAAAUAAUUUAACACCCUGACUAUUUUUUUUUCUCCAAAUUAUUUGUGAAAACAUUUACGUCACCUUGUAAAAAUAGAGAUGAAUGAAAUAAAUUUAAUUAUUUACCUAAUUUUAAAUGAAAAUUAAGUUUAUAUUGCAUCACGAGCGGCGCCUGAACACGUUACACCUACGGUUUAAAUAAUAGUAUUCUACAUUUUGUUUCAAACCUUAUUGUCAUUGCUAUUUUUACAAACGUUUCGCAUUUAUUCAAAUUGGACCAUAAAUCUUUUUUUAUUGUGAUGCUGAACAAUGAAUUAAUUACUGAACAAAAUUGUGGUUUUUAUCCAAUGGUCUGAUAUAUUCAGUUAAAUUAUUUUGUUGUUGUCGAGUUAAGGAGACGGUCUUACUUUUGAUGGAUGGGAAUAUAAUACUCUUGUGACGCUUCCUUACCAAUUUGUUUCAUUGGCCAUAAAGUCACGCUCCUCAUGCUAUGUGAGAAUUAUUGGUUGCAAAAUUAAACAUAAAUAUACUCUACAGUUGUAUUUAUAUUUUAUAUUUUAAUAUAUAUUUAUUUAUUUAAGAACAAUUGUACCUACCAAUUUUUUGAGAUCAACAGUUUUUUUAGACAAAUUGAUAAACUGUGGUAUAACCGUAUAAUCAAUUCAUGCUUGUUACAACUUAAAAAUGUCGUUGCCACAACUCCUGUCCUAUUAUGGAAACUUAAUUUGAAUUUACUACAGUUCACAUAAAUACAGGGUUACUAAAAAGUAUGGAUACAGUUAAAUAUUAUGAAAACUAUUCAUCAAGACUUAUUGAAAUUUGGUAUGUUUAUGCUUAAGAAUAUAUAAAUUUUAUCGUUUGAGAUAUUUAUCAAAUUUCUAUCUUUAUUUUUUUUUGAGGGUACAAGGCUAACUUGUUUUUUUCAAUGGGAAACACGGUCAAAUUUAAUAUACAGUGCGUUUCAUGUAAUUUUGGGAAGCCUGCGCCUGUAAAAUACCACCCAUAAUACAUAUUUAAAUACGACCUCGAUUAAAAAUUUUGAAAAUUUAGAUAGUCAUCUCUUGUUUGUUCACCCCUUAAAAAAUUACAUUUUUAGCUAGUUAGGGAUUAAAAUAACUAGAUUGGAAUCUUGUUCAUUCUGUCUCUUGACAGACCACACAACAAUUGUUUUUAAAAACCUGUAAUUAAUGAAUAUUAAUGAAACAGUAAAAAAUUAAAUAACUAAUUAUAAAUUUUUUGAAUCUAGUGUUUUUUGACUUUUGUAUAUUUGGUUGUGCACAUUAGGCGCAGCCCUCGUAAAGUUGUGUGAAACACCCUGUAUUUAAAAAGAGCAUUUUUUUGAGUUCUAUGAUGUAAGACAUGCGUACCUUAUUUUAAUCAAAACUUAAAAAAAAUAAUACAUUUUUAAAAAAUGUAAAAUUUUGUUAGCCUUGGAAAUGUUGCCGCUUGAUCUUUGACCAAAAAAUAAGUAAAUGUCAAUCAUAAUUGUUAAAAUAACACUUUUAACUAAAAAACAACACAUUUUAAUAAACAAAAGCUUAAACAUAAAAUACAUUAUUUUUAUGCUGCAAAAAAUGUUCAAAAUGAUUUUCAUUAACUUCUUGGUUUUCUGUCGCUAUUACUAACCAUCAUAAAAAACUAUAAGUACAGUUUCACUUAAAUGUAGGAUUGUUAAACUAAUUAUUUUAAUUUUUAGUCAAUAUACAAGUGACAGAUCUCUAAUAAGUAAUAACAGUAUUUUCAAAACUUACUUAGUUUCAUUUUUCCAGAAAUCCAGAAUUUAAAAAUAAAGGUGAGUAUACGUAACAUUACUGAAUUAAGAAAAAAAAUGUUUUUAAAACAUUAUUAAAUUUAACUUUCCUACCAUUUAAAAAAAAAUCAAGUUAGCCUUGUAUUUUCAAAAUAAAUGAUGGAUGGUAGGAAAUUGAAAAAGGUCUCAAAUGAUAGAAUUUAAACACUUUUAACUGUUCCCUAAAUUUCAGAGUGCUCUGUUAAACCGUUCUGAAGAUAUUUUGCUGUAUCCAUACUUUUUAGCGUCUCUGUAUGUAAAAUAAGAAACAUGAUACAGGAUAAUAAACAUGUUUGCCUAUUUUAUCAUUUGUAAGACUGGAAGACAUGUUCAAAUAGAUUUUUGCUCUCAAAAUAAGAUAUUUUUGAGUGACUUCGCGUAUUGUUAGUUUGCACUAGAAAAAGAUAAGUGGCCAUAACUUCCUGAUUUACUUCUACAAGUUGCAAGUGUUUGGCUUCGUAGACUUGGUUUUAUUUCUGGAUAUGCAUCGGAUAAACUUUUGCAACAACUUUAUUCGUGCACCAAACGACUUUCGCAGAUGUUGCGUUUCUCAACUUGCACUUUAUGACUUUAUUAUUAAAAGGGGAGCGUUGAUGUAGGUGACGUAAGUGACAAAUAAUAGAAAAUAACAAUUAUUAGAAGCGAUAAUGUCCGUGACAUUAUCUCAAGUUUACGUAAUAAUUAGAUUAAGUUAACGAGGGAUAAAUGAAUGAACAAAAGACAGAAAUAGACACGGAUUACUCGAUAGUGGUGCCUUAACUUGACAUUUAUUUAUAGCUUUUUGAUAAAUUGGAGUAUUUCCUACUUGGGUUUUUAACACAAAUCUUGGAAGAGCGGUUUUAUCGCGACAGGACCGCAAAAUUUGACGUAAUAUCUAGCACGAAAGAAAGUUGUAAUAGUUGAUAAUUGUGGUAAUUAAUGAAGAUAAAUUGAAAAAGAUUAGCGAAUCUAGAAUUUGGAUUGAAUAGGACACUACAUGGGCGGUCUAGAUUGAACUAAAUGACUUAUUUAACCAUAGUUUAAUUAUUUGCACUUUAUUUGCGCGUCUAAAUAUCCUCAAUUGUCUUUUAUAGGCCAUUUUCAUUGGACGGAACGACUUUGUUUGGAAACGAUAAUAACUAUUGUAACCGGAGUUACAGGGUGUAUACCAGUCUGUUGGAAAUAUCCAUUAUUGACCGUUAAAUAAUUGAAAAAUUAAUGUUUUCUUUACAAAAGUUGUAGAUACUAAUUCCCUGCAUCUCCUAAAAUUAAAUUUAAAUAUAUAGGAUGUUUCAGAAAUGAGCUACAAUACCAAAUUAUGUUUUUUUAAACAGAACACACUAAAUUUUAUUGCAUUUUUGGAGGGAUCUUUUAAUACCUAUUGACGAUUUUGAUCUGAACUUGCAUGUAUUUGUCGACUCUGCUUAGUUUGUAAAAUAAUUUGAUUUCAUGACAAAAACACACUUUAAAAAAUUAUUACACAAAAACUAAGAAUUUUAAAACUUCACCACUUUAAUUAAAAGUAAAAAUUCAAACUUAAAUUUGUACCAAUUGUUUAGCGCAUUGCAAUUAAGAACUUAAAAAAGUUUUGAUAUAAUCUUGUAUUGGUCGAUUCUGCUUAGUUUUUGAAGUAAAUUAUUUUUUUGACACGGUUUUUAAAUCAAAAUAUUUCAUAAAAACAGAAUCAUAGAAAAUUAGAUCAAUUUAAACGAAAAAGUUCAAACUUAAAUCUUUAUUAAUUAUUUAACAUAUUACAAUUACAAACUUAAAAAAAUAUUGUUAGAAACGGUGUUUGUGGCCUUGUGUGGAUCUGUUCGCCCUCGUGAUACAGUACUUGAGAUUAUGGGAAAUGUCUAGACCAACGGGGUAGUGGGACGCUAUCCCGGGGAGCCGUGGGAAGAACAGCCCAGAGGCAGAGAGAAUUAGGCAGUGUAACAGUCCUGACGUGUUAAUUACUAAAUUGAAUAAAUCUUGAUUUGAG